rfam:Cavia porcellus supercont2_9 genomic scaffold, whole genome shotgun sequence.
CUUGUCCUGAAACAAGGCCGGCAGCUUCCUGACACUGUUGGUUUCAAGCAGGAGCCCAAAGAGAUGUCUUUCUGUGGUCUGUUGGCCAUUUCAGAACUUGGGCAGUGAAAUGACCAAUUCAUUAUAAAGAAAAAGCU